rnacentral:misc_RNA from 1 species
AAGUCGUAACAAGGUUUCCGUAGGUGAACCUGCGGAAGGAUCAUUAACGAGUUUGACAUGGGUUGAAGCUGGCCUUCCGAGGCAAUGUGCUCGCCCUGCUCAUCCAUCUUACCCCUGUGCACCUUCUGUAGUGGGUAAGGCCUGAAAAGGUCAAGCCAACUACGUUUUUUAUACACACUUCAGUUCAGAAUGUACUUUUGCUAUAAAACGCAUUAAAUACAACUUUCAACAACGGAUCUCUUGGCUCUC